ACACUUCAAUCCACCAGCCUGGUCCUGUGCGGAACAGAGGACGGCAUGGACUAAGUGACGACUCGCCUUCCAUCCGUGCCUCGCCACCGCUCGGCUCUGCUCAGCCGCCGCCGCGUUGCCGUCGCGCUGGCCGUCCGCCGCACCCCCCCCCCCCCCCCCCCCCCCCCAAGUCGCCGGCGCCACGCACCCGUUCAUCCGCGCCCCCUGCCGCGCUUCGGCGCCCGGCCGACGCCGCCGCUAUGGAAAGGCCGGGUCGGCCUUGUCCCUAUCAUUUGCCUCCCCCGGCUCGUCCCUUCGAGUCGCCAAGACUCCACCCCACAUCGCGCCGAGCGUGCGCACGCCGCUCCGCCCCAACCCCGUGCGCUUUCGCCGUGCAUCGCACCGUCAGCGGCAGCCAUGGCCGAACCGGCCUGAGCUCCAACCGCCGCCGUUCCAUUUCGCCUCACCUCGCCGUUCUCGCCACGUCGCACCGUGCGAGCGCCGCCUGCGCCGCGCGUGCGUUCGCGUGCGUCGUAUCCGUGGCAGAGCGCGCCGCCGUCCGCCGAUCCCAGAAUAGGGGAGCUCUGGUGCCGACCAAAUUCGCGAGGCACAGCCUAUCGCCGUCGUCCCAUCUCGCCGCGCGCCACAGCGUCCUCCCGCCGGCGAGCUGCGCUGCCCUCAGGCCACCGUCCACGGCGCCGCUUGGUCGCAGAGGACUAUGCCGCCGCCGCUUUGUUCAUCGCCAGUGAGCUCCGGCCAUCGACUGCCCUCGCCAAUCGCGUAACCAAGUUCGCCUCGUCGCCCUGAACCUGUGAGUUUCGCAUCAGAAUCAUCAGUUUAUCACAACAAAUCUUGUCAUCACAGUAAAAAUAGUAAAAAAGUUAGUCGUCUAAACCAUUGUGUAGGUAGAGCAUUACAGAAUAUGAAUACAACUGUGUGUAUAUAUACUACAGUAUUUUUUUAGAAAAGAGCUUUCCAUUAACAUGAAUACAACUGUGUAUAUAUAUACACGGUAGGAGUUUUGAGAAGGGAUCCUCUUCAUCUUUUCAUCCUGGAAAUCAAGCAGGAGUCAUCUCAAGUGUUUCACUAUCUUCUGCUAUGGGCUGAUCUUUGUUGAUUGUGCACUUUUGUCGUUAGCACAGACCUGGAAAUUAGCAUGAGUUAAGUCUGAAGAAUUUCGCAGCUUUACCGCUUAGGUAACUGCAUGCGGUACUUUCUGAAGAUCAGUAAGUACUCACUCUCACUGUAUGCUCUGAAAAUCAAAAGGCUGAAAACAGGAAGCUCUGCUGCAAGGCACAACUAUGAUACUUAUGUAAAAGAGAACCAGCAAGUGUUCCGAGAAAAAGAAAACUCAACAAUUGACGAUGAGAGGCAAAAGCGAACAAGGGUGACUGUUAAAUCAGUAAUCUGAACUAUUGAACUGCACGCAAAUCCUCUCUAUGGAAAUUUCCUCGACAUCAAUUGGCACGUAUUCUUUCAGAACCGUCAAAAUAGAGUAAUUACUAUGCACUAAGAACAUCAGGGGAAUGGGCUCAACAGAAUGAGAUCAAUUUUUUUUAGUUGCUAAGCACGGAGACAGACGCACAUCAUCAAUUUCGAUCCUGCGAAAUAAUCUGCCGACACCAAGGUCUGUCAUGUCGGCAUUUGCAUGCCAAAGAUCAACAAGCGAUGAUGUUCUCGAAGACUGAAUCGACCGACGGAUUCAUGAUAAACCAGCAACAUCAGAGUAACGUUCGUGGAGUAGCCAGGAAGAUAUUUCGGCAAGUUUGUAAUGACCCUUCACCAUAAUCUGGGCAUGAUCAUGAGGAUCUUGUAGCCCAUAAAAGUGCAAUGCCUAUUCGGUUCAGUCAAA